rnacentral:rRNA from 1 species
UGUGUGUUAGUGGAAGCGUCUGGAAAGGCGCGCGAUACAGGGUGACAGCCCCGUACACAAAAAUGCACAUGCUGUGAGCUCGAUGAGUAGGGCGGGACACGUGGUAUCCUGUCUGAAUAUGGGGGGACCAUCCUCCAAGGCUAAAUACUCCUGACUGACCGAUAGUGAACCAGUACCGUGAGGGAAAGGCGAAAAGAACCCCGGCGAGGGGAGUGAAAAAGAACCUGAAACCGUGUACGUACAAGCAGUGGGAGCACGCUUAGGCGUGUGACUGCGUACCUUUUGUAUAAUGGGUCAGCGACUUAUAUUCUGUAGCAAGGUUAACCGAAUAGGGGAGCCGAAGGGAAACCGAGUCUUAACUGGGCGUUAAGUUGCAGGGUAUAGACCCGAAACCCGGUGAUCUAGCCAUGGGCAGGUUGAAGGUUGGGUAACACUAACUGGAGGACCGAACCGACUAAUGUUGAAAAAUUAGCGGAUGACUUGUGGCUGGGGGUGAAAGGCCAAUCAAACCGGGAGAUAGCUGGUUCUCCCCGAAAGCUAUUUAGGUAGCGCCUCGUGAAUUCAUCUCCGGGGGUAGAGCACUGUUUCGGCAAGGGG